GGUGAAGCGGCAAAUAGCGAGGCCCACGCGAACGAGUUGUGGUGUGGGCGUUGUCGUGUGUGCGGUGGCGUUGACGAUCCAAAGGCCUGACUCCACAGCGGUAAUGCGUCCCCUCUACUAUCAAGGAGACUCUACCUUGCACUACACCUUCACUGACAACGCCCACGAUCAACACCUCUGCCUCACCACUACCGCAACAUCAGAGGACUGUCUUGCAUCGCGCCCAGACACUACGUAGAUUUCACUAACCAGGAAUUGGCGAUCCAAGGCCUGAGUGUAGCGAUCAAGGGACUCCACCACCACUGCCGCCGUCCAGCGAGAUUCGGCUCCACAUCUCUCACAUUCUGCCAGUCAACACCUUCCGCCGCCGUCCCAACACCACCACCGCCACCAAGGAUUAUGCACGGCACCUUGACCCUGCGCGGCCAUCACCUACUGGGGGUGUCGGUGGCCAGGGUGGGGGAAGGAGUUGCGGGCAGCGUGACAGUCAGUCUUCCCUCAUUCACUGGGGGUGGUGUGGUGUGGUGCCAUUACUCCAUUGUAAUAAACUGUCUUCACUGCCUCAUUGUGGUGUUGUCCCUGUACUAAGAGCUGUUGUCAAUAAAUAAUAAAUUGUGUAGAAAUCUU
rnacentral:lncRNA from 1 species